rnacentral:rRNA from 1 species
GCACAAGCGGUGGAGCAUGUGGUUUAAUCGAAGCAACGCGAAGAACCUUACCAGGUCUUGACAUCCCGAUGCUAUUUCUAGAGAUAGAAAGUUACUUCGGUACAUCGGUGACAGGUGCUGCAUGGCUGUCGUCAGCUCGUGUCGUGAGAUGUUGGGUUAAGUCCCGCAACGAGCGCAACCCUUGUCUUUAAUUGCCAGCAUUCAGUUGGGCACUUUAAAGAGACUGCCGGUGUUAAGCCGGAGGAAGGUGGGAUGACGUCAAGUCCCCAUGGCCUUUAUGCCCAGGGCUACACACGUGCUACAAUGGGUGGUACAAAGAGAUGCCAACUCGCGAGAGCGCGCCAAUCUCAGAAAGCCAUCCUCAGUUCGGAUUGGAGUCUGCAACUCGACUCCAUGAAGUUGGAAUCGCUAGUAAUCGCGGAUCAGCACGCCCGCGGUCGAAUACGUUCCGGGCCUU